AGUUUGAANNAUGGCUCAGGACGAACGCUGGCGGCGUGCUUAACACAUGCAAGUCGAACGAUGAACCACUUCGGUGGGGAUUAGUGGCGAACGGGUGAGUAACACGUGGGCAAUCUGCCCUUCACUCUGGGACAAGCCCUGGAAACGGGGUCUAAUACCGGAUAUCACCUUCACUGGCAUCUGUGAAGGUUGAAAGCUCCGGCGGUGAAGGAUGAGCCCGCGGCCUAUCAGCUUGUUGGUGAGGUAAUGGCUCACCAAGGCGACGACGGGUAGCCGGCCUGAGAGGGCGACCGGCCACACUGGGACUGAGACACGGCCCAGACUCCUACGGGAGGCAGCAGUGGGGAAUAUUGCACAAUGGGCGAAAGCCUGAUGCAGCGACGCCGCGUGAGGGAUGACGGCCUUCGGGUUGUAAACCUCUUUCAGCAG
rnacentral:rRNA from 1 species